rnacentral:rRNA from 1 species
GAUGAACGCUGGCGGCGUGCCUAAUACAUGCAAGUCGAGCGAACGGACGAGCAGCUUGCUUCUCUGAUGUUAGCGGCGGACGGGUGAGUAACACGUGGAUAACCUACCUAUAAGACUGGGAUAACUUCGGGAAACCGUAGCUAAUACCGGAUAAUAUUUUGAACCGCAUGGUUCAAAAGUGAAAGACGGUCUUGCUGUCACUUAUAGAUGGAUCCGCGCUGCAUUAGCUAGUUGGUAAGGUAACGGCUUACCAAGGCAACGAUGCAUAGCCGACCUGAGAGGGUGAUCGGCCACACUGGAACUGAGACACGGUCCAGACUCCUACGGGAGGCAGCAGUAGGGAAUCUUCCGCAAUGGGCGAAAGCCUGACGGAGCAACGCCGCGUGAGGGAUGAAGGUCUUCGGAUCGUAAAACUCUGUUAUUAGGGAAGAACAUAUGUGUAAGUAACUGUGCACGUCUUGACGGUACCUAAUCAGAAAGCCACGGCUAACUACGUG